rnacentral:pre_miRNA from 1 species
UCUAGAACUCGAGAUAUGGGCUGAACACUGAACAGUGUCUGGGCUGCAAGACAGCAGAUUCCGACUUCUCUGUUGUUGCUACAAUUUGAACUUGAAAAUGGUCCUUUUGAAUCUUGGACUCUUAUGAAAGUUUUAGGCAUAUGUCUUAGCUUUCUAUC